rnacentral:tRNA from 1 species
GUCCCCUUCGUCUAGAGGCCUAGGACGCCGCCCUUUCACGGCGGUAACAGGGGUUCGAAUCCCCUAGGGGACG